rnacentral:rRNA from 1 species
GAUGAACGCUGGCGGCGUGCCUAAUACAUGCAAGUCGAGCGAAUGGAUUGAGAGCUUGCUCUCAAGAAGUUAGCGGCGGACGGGUGAGUAACACGUGGGUAACCUGCCCAUAAGACUGGGAUAACCCCGGGAAACCGGGGCUAAUACCGGAUAAUAUUUUGAACUGCAUGGUUCGAAAUUGAAAGGCGGCUUCGGCUGUCACUUAUGGAUGGACCGCGUCGCAUUAGCUAGUUGGUGAGGUAACGGCUCACCAAGGCAACGAUGCGUAGCCGACCUGAGAGGGUGAUCGGCCACACUGGGACUGAGACACGGCCCAGACUCCUACGGGAGGCAGCAGUAGGGAAUCUUCCGCAAUGGACGAAAGUCUGACGGAGCAACGCCGCGUGAGUGAUGAAGGCUUUCGGGUCGUAAAACUCUGUUGUUAGGGAAGAACAAGUGCUAGUUGAAUAAGCUGGCACCUUGACGGUACCUAACCAGAAAGCCACGGCUAACUACGUGCCAGCAGCCG